rnacentral:rRNA from 1 species
UCGAGCGAGAAAGUAUCUUCGGAUAUGAGUAGAGCGGCGGACGGGUGAGAAACGCGUAGGAAUCUACCUAGUAGAAGGGGAUAGCCCGGGGAAACUCGGAUUAAUACCGUAUACCUCCUAAGGGAGAAAGAGGGCCUCUCUUGAAGCUCUCGCUAUUAGAUGAGCCUGCGUAAGAUUAGCUUGUUGGUAAGGUAAUGGCUUACCAAGGCUACGAUCUUUAGCUGGUCUGAGAGGACGAUCAGCCACAUUGGGACUGAGACACGGCCCAGACUCCUACGGAAGGCAGCAGUGGGGAAUAUUGGACAAUGGGCGCAAGCCUGAUCCAGCCAUACCGCGUGUGUGAAGAAGGCCUUCGGGUUGUAAAGCACUUUAAGCAGGGAGAAAAAGCAAUGAGUUAAUACCUUAUUGCCGUGAUGUUACCUGCAGAAUAAGCACCGGCUAAUUCCGUGCCAGCAGCCGCGGUAAUACGGAAGGUGCAAGCGUUAAUCGGAAUUACUGGGCG